rnacentral:rRNA from 1 species
CAGUCGCCACGGGAAUACGAAGGGGGCUAGCGUUGCUCGGAAUGACUGGGCGUAAAGGGCGCGUAGGCGGCGAUCAAAGUCAGGCGUGAAAUUCCUGGGCUCAACCUGGGGGCUGCGCUUGAUACUUGGUUGCUUGAGUGGGGAAGAGGGUCGUGGAAUUCCCAGUGUAGAGGUGAAAUUCGUAGAUAUUGGGAAGAACACCGGUGGCGAAGGCGGCGACCUGGUCCUUGACUGACGCUGAGGCGCGAAAGCGUGGGGAGCAAACAGGAUUAGAUACCCGCGUAGUCCCUGUCUCUUAUAA